rfam:Schistocephalus solidus strain NST_G2 genome assembly, scaffold: SSLN_scaffold0021836
GUGGAAUGAAUUAACUGUUGUGGACAUUGCGGAAACCGGCGAGGUGCUUAUGGAGUCGGUCUACGCAGGGAAGAUGCGCUUCGAUUCGGCAGCGGAAGUCAAGGAGGAUCUUCGGUGGAUCCUUGGACACCCAGCUGACUUUCCGAUCUCAAAUGAACCUGCCAUUUUUUUCGUCACGAGGCGCCCUGCAUCCGCGCAGCAAGGCCAGAUUGCGGCUUUUCGGUCUGUCAAAAUUUGAUCUCUCGGAUUUGUGCUUGAUGGUGGUACGUGGUUCCUUGAACGCUUACGACGUCUAUAUGCAUGGAGCUGGCGGCCAGGUGAACAGAUGAAUCUACGGUGUGGACCCGUGGGUGUUAAAAUGAUGCAGGAGACGUGAACCGACUGGUAUCUCUCCUGUUUAACUGGCACUGAGUUGUCCAGUGGCAGAGGACCGGUUCCUGAGAGAGUCGCUUGCGGAUGCUCCCCAUUGGAGAUUGCUAUGUGUUGCCCCUCUUGUCCCAGCUACUGANGAAUCUACGGUGAGGUUCCGCGGAUUAAAAGAUGCAGGAGACGUCAACCGACUGGUAUGCCUCUUUUUUUACUGGCACUGAGUUGUCCAGUGGCAGAAGACCGGUUCCUGAGAGAGUCGCUUGCGGAUACUCCCCAUUGGAGAUUGCUAUGUGUUGCCCCUCUUGUCCCAGCUACUGAUUGUUGCCUAUCAGCUGCCCAACUGUUUAAUUAGACAGUGUUCUCUUAGUGUUUCAAUGCUUGCAUUCCUGGGGCAUUUCUGCCCAAUUUGUAUCUUCAUUUUGAGUAUAAGAAAUACUUUCUAGCCAAAUGCCUCGUCAUCUUAUUAGUGACGCGUAUGAAUGGAUUAACGAGAUUACUACUGUCCCUAUCAACUAUCUAGCGAAACCACAGCCAAGGGAACGGGCUUGGCAGAAUCAGUGGGGAUAGAAGAACCUGUUGAGUUUGACUUAAGUCCGACUCUGUGAAGAGACAUGGCGGGUGUAGUAAUAAGUGGGAGGCGGGAAUCGCCCUUCGGGUUCUCUCGUUCGACAUUGAAAGAACACUGCCAUCAUUGUUUCGUUACUUAUUCAGUGAAGCGGGCUCUGUCAAUUAUUUUGCGUGUUGACACUAAGCACAGGUUAGUGCGUUGGUCUUACCCCGUGUCUGGCUGGCUUGCCGGCGUCUUGGUCGCAACUGUCUGGUCAGGGCUAGUGGUAAUGACCAUGCGGUUGUUUUCAUGUCCCAUGCCCUUGUCUGUUCCAUCGCGAGGGCUACCUAGCUGGUCGCUACGUACUUAUCUUACGAGAUUGACCGUCCUGUGUAUGUUGGGGGGCCGUGCCCGUGUUUCGUAUGCGUGGAGAGGCCGACACAACUGUGCCCCUUUAUGAACUUGGUAGGGCAGUUUAGCGCUAGCAGUCGCUACAGUCUGUGCAUACUAGCAGGCCGGUUCUGCCAAGUCAAUGUAUUUGUGUGUUAAUUCUCCUGCUGCUCACGCAGUCCUGAAAGGAUGCAGGGCGGCAAAAUGGUGGUAACAGCCCUUUCGUGUGUGUUUGGCAGUGCGGGGGCUGUUGCCGUUCCGGUCAAACCACCAGUGGGUAUGCACGUGUUCGCGCUGAUAGUCGGGUGCGUAUGCGUACAGGCCUACUGCGUGUGUGUCGGUGUUUGAACUACCUGGUUGAUCUUGUCAGUAGUCAUAUGCUUGUCUCAAAGAUUAAGCCAUGCAUGUCUUAGUGCACGCCUUAAUACGGUAAAACCGCGAAUGGCUCAUUAAAUCAGCUUUGGUUUAUUGGAUCAUACCCGUUAAAUGGAUAACUGU